rnacentral:rRNA from 1 species
UACAGAGGGGGCAAGCGUUGUUCGGAAUUACUGGGCGUAAAGGGCGCGUAGGCGGCCGGCUAAGUCGAACGUGAAAUCCCCGGGCUCAACCCGGGAACUGCGUCCGAUACUGGUCGGCUUGAAUUCGGGAGAGGGAUGCGGAAUUCCAGGUGUAGCGGUGAAAUGCGUAGAUAUCUGGAGGAACACCGGUGGCGAAGUCGGCAUCCUGGACCGACAUUGACGCUGAGGCGCGAAAGCCAGGGGAGCAAACGGG